rnacentral:rRNA from 1 species
GGGCGGAAACCUGACGGAGCAACACCGCGUGAACGAUGACGGCCUUCGGGUUGUAAAGGUCUUUUCUGAGGGAAUAAUUCUGAAGGUACCUUAGGAAUAAGCCCCGGCUAAUUCCGUGCCAGCAGCCGCGGUAAUACGGAAGGUGCAAGCGUUAUCCGGAAUCAUUGGGCGUAAAGCGGCCGUAGGCGGUAAUUUAAGUUAGAUGUUAAAUCUAGAGGCUCAACUUCUAAAUCGGUGUCUGAAACUGGAUUACUAGAGACUUGUAAAGGCUCGUGGAAUUCUGUCAU